rnacentral:tRNA from 1 species
GCGGAUGUGGCGGAAUCGGCAGACGCGCCAGAUUCAGGUUCUGGUGGUAGCAAUACCGUGUGGGUUCAAGUCCCUUCAUCCGCACCA